GCACUUGGGGGUAUUCAUGACACCGGAUCGAUUUGACCACCGAUCGAAGGUGUACUUAUCCGGAUGGGUCGUCCUGUAGGGCGGAUGGAUCAGGUCGGUGCAGUUAGUGACAGGCAGCGCUUGAGGUCUGCGGACCAAUAUAGCAGGCACAGAUUCAGUACAGUUUCUGGUUGAUUACUUUGAGGCAUAUUUGCAUUAUUUUCUAUACAGUAGC
rnacentral:lncRNA from 1 species